UAGUUUUGAAUUCGCUGCUAGAUUUUUCAUUUGCGCUUUCCGAGUUUUCGUUUACGCUGCACAAAGUUACGUUCGAACUUCUGGCACAAACUUCUCGCGUGGGCGGGAUUUAACAGUGCUUUACUCUCAUUGGCUACUGAGAUUUUGAUCGACAGCUCCGUGACCUGGAAGUGGAAGUCUCAGUGGCGCGCGCGACUUUAGAAAGCGAUAUAGAGGUGGACGGUGAAGUUGUGAUGGUGAUUAGUUAUCUUUGUUAUUAAACGCGUUUUUUUGCUACAGUUUGCAUUGAAAUGAGCUCUCAGGAGCGGAACGGAGCCUCGUCUUCAGCUGGGCACUCAAGUCAACCGCCGGUCUUUCCCAGGAUUUUUUAAACGUGGUUCAAAAAGACGUCUACCCAGCUGUAACACACCAGCAAAGUUAAAAAAAAAUUGGAAACCAUUCAUAUUUUCCGUGUUUCUUUUACACAAAAAUUCGGAGAUGACUCCCUCAUCAACAGAAGAGCUGGAGCUCAUGCAGGCUGGAUUGGGAAAACGAAAUCUGUCUAUGCCUGAUGACUUGACUCAUUCAGAGGUGUCCAAUUUGUUCUGUGAUGCUUACCCCAAAAUGAAGGCAGCAUCUGGAGGAUGGCUUCUCUACAAAGCAUCUGCUGUCAAAAGAAAGUCAUACAAA